UUUCUCUCAAUCAUUUGUGUCUUUUGAUUCUUAUCCCUCACAAGUAAAAUACGUGAGAUUGAUUAGGACUUAUUGUCUCUGUUUGUGAUCUUGUUCAACAUAUGAUUCAACCAGCCAAUCUGUGAUGACUGGUUGAUUAUUUUCGCUGUAACUGAUCUUGAUUUCAUUUGAAUAAAUCUGUGCCUUCUCCUUGAUUUGAGCUUUGAACGAAGGUGGAAGACGAUGGCUCGGAGAUCAAUCUCGAUCAUAUGCCACAAUGAAAUUUUAGUCUUUUUUAUUGAUUUCUUUCGGUCUAAACCUAUUGGAUUCGCUUUGAAUUAUGUCCAAACUAAAGGGAUUCCAUAUAUCACCCUACUAAAUUCUUAUCAUCUGAGAGGGUGGAAGAUUCAGACUUUGUUCAGUAGCACUACCUAUGACAAGCACUAAGAUUCAUAUGUUUAGCGAUUCCAUAUACAUUGAAAGAGAAACAAUCUACUUUUGUUUAAGAUUCGUUAUAGAAAUACAGAAAACAUCUAUCUCAGCAGCAAAGGUGACCUUAUUGGCGGGUUAGGAAAGGUCUUAAAAAGGAUUUUCCUGUUCGUGAUCAUAUCAAGAAUGAUGAAUGUUAAGGCUUUAUUUACAAUGGUUAAGGUCUUACGGCCAAAAAGUUGAACGUGGCAACGAUUGAACAAAAUGCGUCAUUAGAAUCAGUGAUCAGUGUCGACGACUAGGUUAAUAACUUUUUGUUGAAUAUUAUUGAUUAGAGGUUCUUCAAGUCAUUUAACACCACUGCAAUUGGAGUCUUUAGUAACUGAAGGUGGCACAUCAAGAUUUUGGUUGUUUAGGCCUGCUCACAGUAUUCUCGACAUCUUUUUCUUGAUGUAUUUUGUUGUUUUAUAUUUAAUCUGGGCUGUCGUUCUGUUUUCUUAUUUGGCAGGUGGAAUUCCGCUCUUCAUUAUCAUCCUCCUGUAUACGCACCAGCCGCGCUCUCCAUGAACUUUCUAUUACCUUCUCGAAUUAAAAUAUAUCUUUUGAAAUAGUUGAUCUUGGACUUUUCCCGAAUACAGCUGGAAGAUUUGGAAUCUCUCUUGAAGAGGUUUCCCGCUUUCCAGAUAUGCAUCCGGCAACUAAAUCUUCAGAUAUAACAGAUAUAACGAAGAAAUUUCUUUGCCGGCAUUUGAACUUGACAAACAUUUGCUUGAUUAUAUUGGUGGCAAAUAGAUUGACUAUUGUGAUAUGAAUAACUUGCUUCAACCGAUCUUCCACAUGUUGGCUUGCUCGUACUUAUUUCAAUGUAAUCUUUUAUAGACUCUUUUUCCUCUUUAUUCAACAAUAUAAUUGUUUAGUAGUUUAGUGUAGAAAUAGAAUUAAUUAUUUGUAUACCUUAAAAUCAACAUGUAAAAGUAAGGUCUCUUAUUUUUGGGUU